UGUUUUGUUUUCUGACACACUAUCACAAACCCACUUAAUUGACCAUGAUAUAGACAUCGGAGAUGCUAAGCCUAUCAGAUUUUAUCGUGUAUCUGAGAAGAGACUGCAAUUGGAAACAGAGGUGCAGUAUAUGUUGGACAAUGGUAUUGCGGAGCCAUGUUAUUCAACUUGGGCUUCACCCUGUCUUUUGGUCAAAAAGUCUGAUUCCACUUUCAGACCUUGCACUGAUUAUAGAAAAGUUAACAAUGUUACUAAAGCAGACCUUUACCCUCUUCCUAGGAUGGAGGACUGUAUUGAUCAAGUUGGGUCAGCAAAUGAUGCCUUUCGGCUUGCGGAAUGCUCCAGCCACCUUCCAGAGGCUAUUGAAUCGGGUGGUCUCAGGUCUGGAAGGGUGUGCCGUGUAUUUGGACAACGUGGUCGUCUACUCAGACUCCUGGGAGGAGCAUGAUUGGAGAGUGCAAGCCCUGUUCGAAAGACUGGUGUGGGCCACGUUGACUAUCAAUUUGGCAAAAUGUCCCUGCAAAAUCCCAACCAGCACCUGAUGCGUUGGGCUUUGUUCUUGCAACCAUUCAACCUUGAUAUUAGACACAUUAGUGGUAUGAUCCUGUUUGUUUGUUCCUUUGUAGUUUUCACUGUCAUAUUCACAGAUUCAUGCAUCCCUGCACUUUACAUACACUCUACAUUAUGAUACUUUCACACCUCAUUCCCUUUUCUUUGUUUAAAGUUAAUAGUUUGGUUUAUAAUAAAGAACCUUUUUGAUUGG